AUUGAACGCUGGCGGCAUGCCUUACACAUGCAAGUCGAACGGUAACAGGUCUUCGGAUGCUGACGAGUGGCGGACGGGUGAGUAAUAUAUCGGAACGUGCCCAGUCGUGGGGGAUAACGCAGCGAAAGCUGUGCUAAUACCGCAUACGAUCUAUGGAUGAAAGCGGGGGAUCGCAAGACCUCGCGCGAUUGGAGCGGCCGAUAUCAGAUUCGGUAGUUGGUGGGGUAAAGGCCUACCAAGCCAACGAUCUGUAGCUGGUCUGAGAGGCCGACCAGCCACACUGGAACUGAGACACGGUCCAGACUCCUACGGGAGGCAGCAGUGGGGAAUUUUGGACAAUGGGCGCAAGCCUGAUCCAGCAAUGCCGCGUGCAGGAUGAAGGCCUUCGGGUUGUAAACUGCUUUUGUACGGAACGAAAAGGCUCUGGUUAAUACCUGGGGCUCAUGACGGUACCGUAAGAAUAAGCACCGGCUAACUACGUGCCAGCAGCCGCAGUAA
rnacentral:rRNA from 1 species